UACGUAGGGUGCAAGCGUUAAUCGGAAUUACUGGGCGUAAAGCGUGCGCAGGCGGUGAUGUAAGACAGGUGUGAAAUCCCCGGGCUUAACCUGGGACUGCAUUUGUGACUGCAUCGCUGGAGUGCGGCAGAGGGGGAUGGAAUUCCGCGUGUAGCAGUGAAAUGCGUAGAUAUGCGGAGGAACACCGAUGGCGAAGGCAAUCCCCUGGGCCUGCACUGACGCUCAUGCACGAAAGCGUGGGGAGCAAACAGG
rnacentral:rRNA from 1 species